rnacentral:rRNA from 1 species
CAGUAGCCACGGGAAUACGUAGGUGGCAAGCGUUGUCCGGAAUUAUUGGGCGUAAGGGGCUCGCAGGCGGUUUCUUAAGUCUGAUGUGAAAGCCCCCGGCUCAACCGGGGAGGGUCAUUGGAAACUGGGAAACUUGAGUGCAGAAGAGGAGAGUGGAAUUCCACGUGUAGCGGUGAAAUGCGUAGAGAUGUGGAGGAACACCAGUGGCGGAGGCGACUCUCUGGUCUGUAACUGACGCUGAGGAGCGAAAGCGUGGGGAGCGAACAGGAUUAGAUACCCCUGUAGUCCCUGUCUCUUAUAA